rnacentral:rRNA from 1 species
AUUGAACGCUGGCGGCAGGCUUAACACAUGCAAGUCGAGCGAGCGGCAGACGGGUGAGUAAUGUCUGGGAAACUGCAUGAUGGAAGGGGAUAACUACUGGAAACGGUAGCUAAUACCGCCUACCAUAAGAUGUUCCCAGAUGGGAUUAGCUAGUAGGUGGGGUAAUGGCUCACAUAGGCGACGAUCCCUAGCUGGUCUGAGAGGAUUACAAGCAAAACGGGAACUGAGACACUGUCCAGACUCCUACGGGAGGCAGCAGUGGGGAAUAUUGCACAAUGGGCGCAAGCCUGAUGCAGCCAUGCCGCGUGUGUGAAGAAGGCCUUCGGGUUGUAAAGCACUUUCAGCGAGGAGGCGUUACUCGCAGAAGAAGCACCGGCUAACUCCGUGCCAGCAGCCGCGGUAAUUC